rnacentral:rRNA from 1 species
UACGUAGGGUGCGAGCGUUUAAUCGGAAUUACUGGGCGUAAAGCGUGCGCAGGCGGUUUUGCAAGCCGGAUGUGAAAUCCCCCGGGCUCAACCUGGGAAUGGCAUUUGGGACUGCAAGGCUUGAGUGCGGCAGAGGAGACUGGAAUUCCUGGUGUAGCGGUGAAAUGACGCAGAUAUCAGGAGGAACACCGGUGGCGAAGGCGGGUCUCUGGGCCGAUACUGACGCUGAGGAGCGAAAAGCGUGGGGGAGCGAACAGG